rnacentral:rRNA from 1 species
UGCGCAGGCGGACUAUUAAGUCGGUGGUGAAAUCUCUCGGCUCAACCGAGAAACUGCCAUUGAAACUGAUAGCCUUGAGUGUAGUUGUAGUAGGCGGAAUAUAGCAUGUAGCGGUGAAAUGCUUAGAUAUGCUAUAGAACACCGAUCGCGAAGGCAGCUUACUAAACUAUUACUGACGCUCAUGCACGAAAGCGUGGGGAGCAAACAGGAUUAGAUACCCUGGUAGUCC